rnacentral:sRNA from 1 species
UAGAAUCUUAGUCAUUACUGCAAUGCCC